UGGGGAAUCUUGCACAAUGGGCGAAAGCCUGAUGCAGCGACGCCGCGUGCGGGAUGAAGGCCUUCGGGUUGUAAACCGCUUUCAGCAGGGGCGAGGCCGCAAGGGGACGGUACCUGCAGAAGAAGCCCCGGCUAACGACGUGCCAGCAGCCGCGGUAAUACGUAGGGGGAAAGCGUUAUCCGGAUUAAUUGGGCGUAAAGCGCGCGUAGGCGGUUUGUUAGGUCAGGAGUUAAAUCUGGGGGCUCAACCCCUAUCCGCUCCUGAUACCGGCAGGCUUGAGUCUGGUAGGGGAAGGCGGAAUUCCAAGUGUAGCGGUGAAAUGCGCAGAUAUUUGGAAGAACACCGGUGGCGAAGGCGGCCUUCUGGGCCACGACUGACGCUGAGGCGCGAAAGCUAGGGGAGCGAACAGG
rnacentral:rRNA from 1 species